rnacentral:rRNA from 1 species
UACGGGGGGGCAAGCGUUGUUCGGAAUUACUGGGCGUAAAGGGCGCGUAGGCGGCCUUCUAAGUCGGACGUGAAAUCCCUCGGCUCAACCGAGGAACUGCGUCUGAUACUGGAAGGCUUGAAUCCGGGAGAGGGAUGUGGAAUUCCUGGUGUAGCGGUGAAAUGCGCAGAUAUCAGGAAGAACACCCGUGGCGAAGGCGGCCCUCUGGGACGGUACUGACGCUGAGACGCGAAAGCGUGGGUAGCAAACGGG